rnacentral:rRNA from 1 species
GACGAACGCUGGCGGCGUGCCUAACACAUGCAAGUCAACUUGACUGAAGGAGCAAUCUGACAGUAGAGUGGCGCAAGGGUGCGUAACGCGUAAGUAACUUGCCCCAAGGUAAGGAAUAACGUCGAGAAAUCGGCGCUAAUACCUCAUAAUGCAGCGGAUCCGCAUGGAUAUGUUGUUAAAGGUUUACCGCCUUGGGAUAGGCUUGCGUCUGAUUAGUUAGUUGGUGUGGUAACGGCACACCAAGGCUACGAUCAGUAACUGGUCUGAGAGGAUGAUCAGUCACACUGGAACUGAGACACGGUCCAGACUCCUACGGGAGGCAGCAGUGAGGAAUAUUGGGCAAUGCUCGAAAGAGUGACCCAGCAACGCCGCGUGGAGGAU